GCUUACCAUGCAGUCGAACGCUUCCUUCGGGGAGAGUGGCAGACGGGUGAGUAACACGUGGGAACGUACCCUUCAGUUCGGAAUAACCCUGGGAAACUAGGGCUAAUACCGGAUACGGCCGAGAGGCGAAAGGUUUACUGCUGAAGGAUCGGCCCGCGUCCGAUUAGCUAGUUGGUGUUGGUAACGGCUCACCAAGGCGACGAUCGGUAGCUGGUCUGAGAGGAUGGCCAGCCACAUUGGGACUGAGACACGGCCCAAACUCCUACGGGAGGCAGCAGUGGGGAAUAUUGGACAAUGGGCGCAAGCCUGAUCCAGCCAUGCCGCGUGAGUGAUGACGGCCUUAGGGUUGUAAAGCUCUUUUACCUGGGAAGAUAAUGACGGUACCAGGAGAAUAAGCCCCGGCUAACUUCGUGCCAGCAGCCGCGGUAAUACGAAGGGGGCUAGCGUUGUUCGGAUUUACUGGGCGUAAAGGGCGCGUAGGCGGACUGAUAAGUCAGGGGUGAAAUCCCAAGGCUCAACCUUGGAACUGCCUUUGAUACUGUUAGUCUUGAGUUCGAGAGAGGUAAGUGGAACUGCGAGUGUAGAGGUGAAAUUCGUAGAUAUUCGCAAGAACACCAGUGGCGAAGGCGGCUUACUGGCUCGAAACUGACGCUGAGGCGCGAAAGCGUGGGGAGCAAACAGGAUUAGAUACCCUGGUAGUCCACGCCUUAAACGAUGGAUGCUAGCCGUCGGGCAGCUUGCUGCUCUGUGGCGCCGUUAACACAUUAAGCAUCCCGCCUGGGGAGUACGUC
rnacentral:rRNA from 1 species